rnacentral:rRNA from 1 species
GAUGAACGCUGGCGGCGUGCCUAAUACAUGCAAGUCGAGCGAACAGAUGAGGCGCUUGCUCCUCUGACGUUAGCGGCGGACGGGUGUGUAACACGUGGAUAACCUACCUAUAAGACUGGGAUAACUUCGGGAAACCGGAGCUAAUACCGGAUAAUAUAUUGAUCCGCAUGGUUCAAUAGUGAAAGACGGUUUUGCUGUCACUUAUAGCUGGAUCCGCGCCGCAUUAGCUAGUUGGUAAGGUAACGGCUUACCAAGGCGACGAUGCGUAGCCGACGUGAUAGGGUGAUCGGCCACACUGGAACUGAGACGCGGUCCAGACUCCUAAGGGAGGCAGCAGUAGGGAAUCGUCCGCAAUGGGCGGAAGCAUGACGGAGCAAGGCCGCGUGAGUGAUGAAGGUCUUCGGAGCGUAAUACUCUGUUAUGAGGGAAGAACAAAUGUGUAAGUAAAUAUGCACGUCUUGACGGUACCUAGUCAGAAAGCCACGGCUAACUACGUG